AAUCUUCCGCAAUGGACGAAAGUCUGACGGAGCAACCCCGCGAGAGUGAUGAAGGUCCUCGGAGCGUAAAACUCUGUUGUUAGGGAAGAACAAGGAUCGUGCGAAGAGGGCGGUACCUUGACGGUACCUAACCAGAACGCGACGGCUAACUACGCGCCAGCAGCCGCGGUAAUACGUAGGUGGCAAGCGUUAUCCGGAAUUAUUGGGCGUAAAGCGCGCGGAGGCGGUUUCUUAAGUCUGAUGGGAAAGCCCACGGCUCAACCGUGGGGGGUCAUUGGAAACUGGGAAGCUUGAAUGCAGAAGAGGAGAGUGGAAUUCCAUGGGUAGCGGUGAAAUGCGUAGAGAUAUGGAGGAACACCAGUGGCGAAGGCGACUCUCUGGUCUGCAACUGACGCUGAGGCGCGAAAGCGUGGGGAGCGAACA
rnacentral:rRNA from 1 species